AAAGAAGCAAGACAGAGAUGAUCACCCCUGCCUGAUCCUGAUCCCCUGGAGCAAGCCCUGGCUAAAGCGCUGGCAAUUGUCUAAAAAUAUUUAACUUGGUAAGAAAGAACAUGUAAGCCAUUGAUGGCAGCUUGAAGAACCAUUAAGAGGCUGUUAUGAGGCAACAGGUGACUGAGGAAGAAAGCCCUUUGGAAG